GAUGAACGCUGGCGGCGUGCUUAACACAUGCAAGUCGAACGGAAAGGCCCAAGCUUGCUUGGGUACUCGAGUGGCGAACGGGUGAGUAACACGUGGGUGAUCUGCCCUGCACUUCGGGAUAAGCCUGGGAAACUGGGUCUAAUACCGGAUAGGACCACAUUUUGGAUGGUGUGGUGGAAAGUUUUUCGGUGUGGGAUGAGCUCGCGGCCUAUCAGCUUGUUGGUGGGGUAAUGGCCUACCAAGGCGUCGACGGGUAGCCGGCCUGAGAGGGUGUACGGCCACAGUGGGACUGAGAGACGGCCCAGACUCCUACGGGAGGCAGCAGUGGGGAAUAUUGCACAAUGGGCGCAAGCCUGAUGCAGCGACGCCGCGUGGGGGAUGACGGCCUUCGGGUUGUAAACUCCUUUCGCUAGGGACGAAGCGUUAUGUGACGGUACCUGGAGAAGAAGCACCGGCUAACUACGUG
rnacentral:rRNA from 1 species